AAGCCAUCGAAGCAAAUUCGAACCAGAAGCAGCCAGAGCAUCACCGCAUCGAACAGGGAGAGGAGAGAAGCCCCCUCUGUCGCUCGUCGUCCACAACGCCGAUGGGACCUCGAUGGCUGGUCAGGGGGGUCUUCGCCUUGGUGCAAGGAAGGUCACUGUGGCCACGCGAUGGAGGAUACUCCCCGGGCAGCCCAAAUUUCUCGUCGGAAUUAAUGACCGUCGUAGGUCUGCAUCUUGCCAUGGGCAGGAGUCUGCGCAACGAAAACUCCGGUGAUACCUCUUCCCUACAAUUCGCUAUGGCCUAAGAAUUGUGUAGAGCGUUUCGGAUCGAGGAGUAGUGCACCAGAGCCAUGGAUCACCGCACGCCGGUGAGAGCUCCGCCGUCGUUCAGACCUAGUUUGGGUACUCUAGUAAUGAGUAGGAUCGGAGUGUAUUGAGAGAAUAUUUGAACUAUUGGGGAUUUAUACCCUCUCCAAUCCCUACAAAACACUAUAAUCCCAAAGUAUCCAAACUAGGCCUCAAUGGGGUGCCGCUCUGCUCGACCGAAACGAGGGAGACGACCCUCAGCCAUCAAUUGCCAAAUGAGGGACUGAGAUUAGAGAUAAGAAAAACAAUUCGCCCUAAUUGGUUAUGACCGUUGGAUCCAUAACGGACGAGGAAGAUUAGAUCUGGGCGUGUAACGCUUCGGACCGUCAAUCGUCAAUCCAAUGGCUGUGAUUGCGUACCGGUUCGGUGCUGCGGGGAUCUAAUCCGAGCCGUCGGUUUCAGAUCGGAUGGCUUAGUGCUCGUGUAUCCCGUUCGGCGCGCUAGUUUUGCAAAAGAGUCACUAGAUUUUAUUAGAAUCAACCCGCCGUCCUAUUGAGUGCAAAAGUAAUUACAGAGCAGUCCAUUUUCUUUUAGAUAGCACCCUGACUUUCAUGAAAAUAAUAGCCGUCGUCCAAUAGUGUUAUUUAGUUGAAAAAAUUAAAUCAAGAAAUUGUUUUAGGGUAUAAAGUGAUUCAAUAAACUUAGAAAAUCCAUAACUUUUGCGAUCUAACUGUGUUUUAGUCCAUUCCAGUUGCGUUGGCUUCUUAAUAAAAUUAUCUACACAUUAGCAACCCUACUUUAUCAUGUAACAUGUUUUUAAAUAAUGAAUUUUUUUACCCUAUGUUCAUCAGAUUAACUUCUCUAAUUAAAAUUAAAGUAAUGUUUUCAGUCCCUAGUUAUGAUUUGACUAAAAUAUGUUUUCUAAUCAAGUUAUAACUUGGAUUAAAAUGAAAUGGUUUCUCAGGAGUAUCUUUCUAACAUGAUUUAUAAUAAUCAACAUAGAACAUAGUUUUCCUAUUUAAUCACAUAAACCUUCGAAAAGUCAUAACUCUUUAACCGUAACUCCGAAUUUAGUGAUUCUCGAACCUACGAUCUAGUUACGACGCGUAGAUCAUUAUUAUGCAGUUUGUUCUUAUGUUUGGUGUGAUGUUAAUUUAGCCUAUACCAUGUUUGUUUGUAUUACUACGAUUAGCGAUAAGGUCACGAGAAUCUGAAGAUCAUCCUGGUAUCUGGGGAUCUCAAGUCUUUGGCAAGUUGUGCCCUCGAUCACUUUUCUUUACCAAAUAAUGUUUCUGUUAAUCACUGUGACAUGCUUAGGUUAAUCUGAUGGGACCUAAUAAGUUUCCCUAUACUUGUUUAUCUCACACCUUGUUUACCACUGAACUUUUGGGUAGUUAUGUUAUUGCUCUACCUGGUUUUCGGAUUAAUAUUACAUUAUGACCAUGUUCUAAUUAUACUAUUGUUUAAUUAUUGUUGAUGACAAGAUCAUUGUGUUAAUUGGAACAUGGAGCUUAACUUGAGAAACACGUGCUACCACAAGGGUGGAAUGGGACGCCCUUGGCUGACUAAUUAGGAAAGCUAGUGGAGGACUACCUUACCUGAAAGGGGCAAGGGCAGUAGCAGAGUUGCGUAUAGGGAGGUUCUCGGGUCGAUCAUGUUGCGAUGACUUUUCAGACGAGGGAUUCCUAUAUUGCCCUUCCUAGAAACUGUAGCGGGUUUUCUGAAGCUAGUGGAACUUUGUAAAGGCCUCGUAGUGGAUCCCUAGCCAUUCACCUCGGAAGUGUCUAAGCAUCUAGCUAACCCUGGCUAGAUGGGAUACAUGACUUGUGGGUAAAGGGCACAACCUCUGUAGAGUGUAAAACUGGUAUAUCAGCUGUGCUCGCGGUCAUGAGCAGCUUAGGAUUCUCGCAUGAUUGACUUAUGGAACUAAACUUAAUCUGUCAUAUGCAUUGCAUCGCAGGUGUUAUUAUCAAUUUUGAUCUCUUACUUAAUUGGGUUGGUAUCUACUUAUACCUAGUAACUGCUAAUAAAUUUUUGACCAACUUUAAAAGCAAUGCUUAGCUUUAACCAUCUCCUUUGGUAAGCCUUACACUUCACAUGAGCUCCCACCUUUGGUGAGUUCAUGCACAUUAUUCCCCACAACUUGUUGAACGAUGAACAUAUGUGAGCUCACUCUUGUUGUACUCACAUCCCCCAGGUCAAGAACAGGUACCACAGGAGGAGGCGCAUGAAGGAUGCUAUGAUGAGUUCGUGAGUGGUCUAGGCCAUUGUCUCCCAGUCAACUAUAGUUGCUGGAUCGUUGUCUGCAUAUGAUGUAAUUAUUUAGCUAUUUUGUGCAAAACUCAUAUUAUAUAGUAAAGAGGUGACAUUUGUUUCUGUACAAUGAGUCAUCAUAUGUGUGAGACUUGGUCCCAGCACACUUGGUGAUUAUUCUCACGACCGGGUUUUGGUUGCCCCUAGAACCCGGGU
rnacentral:lncRNA from 1 species